GCUGAUGGUAAUCCUUGGGGGAAUUGGGGGUUGAUGGUAAUCCUUGAGGGAAUCUGGUGUUGAUGGCAAUCCUUGAGGGAAUCUGGUGUUGAUGGCAAUCUUUGUGGCAAUUGGGGGUUUAUUGUAAUCCUUGAGGGAAUCUGGUGUUGAUGGCAAUCUUUGUGGCAAUUGGGGGUGUUGGUAAUCCUUGAGGGAAUCAGGUGCUGAUGGCAAUCUUUUCGGGAAUUGGGGGUUGAUGGUAAUCCUUGAGGGAAUC
rnacentral:lncRNA from 1 species